UCCUCUGACCUCUGACAUCAAUAACUGGAUGUUUUGUCUUCUUCAGACCGUUCUCUGUGAACCCCAGAGAUGGUUGUGUAUGAAAAUCCCAGUAAAUAUCAGACCAACA